rfam:Ciona savignyi cont_32240, whole genome shotgun sequence.
GCAUUGGUGGUUCAGUGGUAGAAUCCUCGCCUGCCACGCGAGGGGCCCGGGUUCGAUUCCCGGCCAAUGCA